UUAGUUAAUGACAAACAAUAAUAUAUUUGCAUACUAUCCUAUAUUGUUGAUGACUUCAUUCAACUAUUAACAUCGUUGUUUCAUGUGGAAUAUUCACCUUUAUUAUACUCACCUUUAUUUUGCUCGACAACCACUGUAAUGAACAUGCAGAAGUAAAUUCGCCACAUAAAAAUAAGCAGCAAUCACCCCAAACAACAGAGUCUUUUAGGAUUUCCUUUUUCA
rnacentral:lncRNA from 1 species